rnacentral:lncRNA from 1 species
UGGGUUUUGGUUUAAUGGAGCAUUGCUUUAGUAAAGCGGUUCUGGAAAAUGACGACGGAGGGAAUGGUGGUCAUCCCCUAUGGAAAAUGGCGGGAAAUCAAGGUCUGGUAGAGUCUAGGGUCAUUUAAGUCAUUUCAUGACAUUUUUGGGGUCCACAUGUUUGCCACGUCAGACAUCUGACGGAGCCGUCAGUGAAAUGUGACGGAAGUAGCUCGUUGAUAGCAAAAUAUGGGUUCAGGUAUCACAUUGAUACAAUUGAGAGUCCGGGUAUCAACUUGGCCGGUGCACAAGAGUUGAGGCACUGAUGGUGCAUUUUUCU